rnacentral:misc_RNA from 1 species
GGCAUUAGCAAUAAUAUCAACACUGCAAAUGCUCUUCCCAAUAUCCACAGAACCUGGCGUUCCUAUCUCAGAGGUGGCCUCAAAACCCAGGAAUUCCUCUCCACAUAAGCUGCUAGUCUCACUAGCCGAGGAAAGAGAACAAGAGCUAUCAAAAAUAGGAUCACCCUCCAAAGAAAAGGAAUCAUCUUCUUCUUCACUUUCCUGGUUUAUCACAUCAUCACUGCCCACCCAAUUAUUUUUAUUUUCAGAGACCAUAUCCAACAAAGGGACUCCGCUCUGCUUGUCCUGCUCUGGAACUGCAACUG